rnacentral:rRNA from 1 species
UAGAUGCGAGAGUAGAGCAUAUCAAUAAGCGGAGGAAAAGAAACUAACUAGGAUUCCCUCAGUAACGGCGAGUGAAGCGGGAAGAGCUCAAAUUUGAAAUCUUCAAGGUUCUACCUUGACGAAUUGUAGUUUAAAGAAGUGUUUUCUGUUGGAGUUUUGGUAAAAGUUCUUUGGAAUAGGACAUCAUAGAGGGUGAGAAUCCCGUAUUUGACCAUUAUUUCCAACUUUGUGAUACACUUUCAAAGAGUCGGAUUGUUUGGGAAUGCAGUCCAAAAUGGGUGGUAAAUUUCAUCUAAAGCUAAAUAUUGGCGAGAGACCGAUAGCGAACAAGUACCGUGAGGGAAGGAUGAAAAGAACUUUGAAAAGAGAGUUAAACAGUACGUGAAAUUGUCAAAAGGGAAGCGUUUGACACCAGUGUUGUUUAGUUGAAAAUCAAUUCAAUAAUUUGGGAUUUUGAGUAGUAUUGACUUCAUCAGCUUGCUGCACUUUCUUUUCUGUAUUAUUGAAUGCACUUUUCAGUUAACAAGUCAACAUCAAUUUCUUUUGUUGUAAAAGGGUAAGAGGAAGGUGGCUUACGCUUCGGCGUAAGUGUUUAUAGCCUUUUACCUCUGCAAUCGGAGAGAUUGAGGACAGCAGCGUAGACUCUUCGGGGUUAGAUACACUUGUGCUAAGCUAUAGCCUUGUAUAGACAACUUGUUGACUAUGCUCAGUCAUGUAGCUUACUCGCUUGUGCUAUUUUACCUACGCUUAGGAUGUUGACGCGCGUGUGUGCGUG